rnacentral:rRNA from 1 species
GACGAACGCUGGCGGCGUGCUUAACACAUGCAAGUCGAACGGAAAGGCCCUGCUUUUGCGGGGUGCUCGAGUGGCGAACGGGUGAGUAACACGUGAGUAACCUGCCCUUGACUUUGGGAUAACUUCAGGAAACUGGGGCUAAUACCGGAUAGGAGCUCCUGCUGCAUGGUGGGGGUUGGAAAGUUUCGGCGGUUGGGGAUGGACUCGCGGCUUAUCAGCUUGUUGGUGGGGUAGUGGCUUACCAAGGCUUUGACGGGUAGCCGGCCUGAGAGGGUGACCGGCCACAUUGGGCCUGAGAUACGGCCCAGACUCCUACGGGAGGCAGCAGUGGGGAAUAUUGCACAAUGGGCGGAAGCCUGAUGCAGCAACGCCGCGUGCGGGAUGACGGCCUUCGGGUUGUAAACCGCUUUCGCCUGUGACGAAGCGUGAGUGACGGUAAUGGGUAAAGAAGCACCGGCUAACUACGUG